rnacentral:rRNA from 1 species
AAAUGUGGACAAUGGGGGAAACCCUGAUCCAGCCAUCUUGCGUGUAUGAUGAACGCCUUCGGGUUGUAAAGAACUCUUGGCAGAGAAGAAAAGGUACCUCCUAAUACGAGGUACUGCUGACGGUAUCUGCAGAAUAAGCACCGGCUACCUACGUGCCUGCACCCGCGGUAAUACGUAGGGUGCAAGCGUUAAUCGGAAUUACUGGGCGUAAAGCGUGUGUAGGCGGUUCGGAAAGAAAGAUGUGAAAUCCCAGGGCUCAAACUUAGAACUGCAUUUUUAACUGCCGAGCUAGAGUAUGUCAGAGGGGGGUAGAAUUCCACGUGUAGCAGUGAAAUGCGUAGAUAUGUGGAGGAAUACCGAUGGCGAAGGCAGCCCCCUGGGAUAAUACUGACGCUCAGACACGAAAGCGUGGGGAGCAAACA